rnacentral:lncRNA from 1 species
UUCGCUGACCCAAAACGUAUUUCUAACUUUACGCCUCUGCCGUAUCCACUGAGGGACCUGUUUGCUGAAGAAUUUUUUGCAGAAAAGUCCCUGAGAUUCAACCCUUCAUAACUUUUCAACUAUAACUCCGUUUAAGGUGAAACCAACGCUCACUUCUUUGUUUCGUCGAGCCCUUUCUGUUGGUGUCACUUUCAUUAUGUUUUGGCAUACCAAAAAUGAUCAUUUUGCCCCUGCCCUUAAUCAGCCCCCUCCAAGAGAGAACGAUUUCCGGCGAUUCUUUCCGCGAGCUUCUCGCACUUUCUUCCGAUGAUUUCUUCCACCCCAGGCAAGCCACACCCUCCAUUUGCAUGAUUGCAAUGCAGUGACAUGGUUUAAUUCAUUUUGAACUUGUUUAAAAUAUUGCUUUAGCAACAUGACUCUGUGCAUGGCAUUUUCUCGGAGUAUUGUUUUGAUCUUGUUGUUGCCAUGCUAUGGUUUGGAUUACUAGGAGUUAUGUUUGUAGUAGAUGAGUAUCAUGUUGCCAUUGGAAUAUUAGUGGCUAAUAUUAUGAGUGUUUCAUGAUGAUAUCUGUUAGUAUGUUUUGGAGUAUUACUUUGGAUAUCAUGCUACCUUUGGAUUAGUAGUGGUUGGUAUGAUUAUUUUCAUGAUGCUAGUUGAUGUUCUGUUGCUUGGAGUAUUACUUUCGGAGAUGAUGGUUACAUGUGGAUCUUAGUUGGAUAACUUGUUCUUGCAUAUUGGAGUAAUAGUGUUAUUGUUCAUCAUGAUAGUAGUAUUAUGCUAUCCUUGGAGUAUUUUGGUAUGAUGAUAUUAUGUUUGGGUUAUUUGUUGGAUAUUGCUAUGAUUUGGAUUAUAGUUUGAUAGUUGACAUCGGAGUAUCAGUUAUCAUGGUUAUAGUUUUAUGGAUAAAUUCCGUCAGUAAGUUGGUUAGGUGCCGCCGAAUCGAACUUUUCUAGUGCAACCACAUUUGCUGUUAUGGGACGGCCCUAAUGCGGUCUAUUGUUG